CCUACGGGAGGCAGCAGUGGGGAAUAUUGCACAAUGGGCGAAAGCCUGAUGCAGCAACGCCGCGUGAGCGAUGAAGGCCUUCGGGUCGGAAAGCUCUGUCCUCAAGGAAGAUAAUGCCGGUACUUGAGGAGGAAGCCCCGGCUAACUACGUGCCAGCAGCCGCGGUAAUACGUAGGGGGCUAGCGUUAUCCGGAAUUACUGGGCGUAAAGGGGGCGUAGGUGGUUUCUUAAGUCAGAGGUGAAAGGCUACGGCUCAACCGUAGUAAGCCUUUGAAACUGGGGAACUUGAGUGCAGGAGAGGAGAGUGGAAUUCCUAGUGUAGCGGUGAAAUGCGUAGAGAUUAGGAGGAACACCAGUUGCGAAGGCGGCUCUCUGGACUGUAACUGACACUGAGGCACGAAAGCGUGGGGAGCAAACAGGAUUAGAUACCCGAGUAGUC
rnacentral:rRNA from 1 species